UAAAGAAUUUCGGUCAUCGAUGGGGAUGCGUUCCAUUAGCUUGUUGGCGGGGUAACGCCCCACCAAGGCAUCGAUGGAUAGGGGUUCUGAGAGGAAGGUCCCCCACAUUGGAACUGAGACACGGUCCAAACUCCUACGGGAGGCAGCAGUGAGGAAUAUUGGUCAAUGGGCGCUAGCCUGAACCAGCCAAGUAGCGUGAAGGAUGACUGCCCUAUGGGUUGUAAACUUCUUUUAUAUGGGAAUAAAGUGCAGUAUGUAUACUGCUUUGCAUGUACCUUAUGAAUAAGGAUCGGCUAACUCCGUGCCAGCAGCCGCGGUAAUACGGAGGAUCCGAGCGUUAUCCGGAUUUAUUGGGUUUAAAGGGAGCGUAGGCGGGUUGUUAAGUCAGUUGUGAAAGUUUGCGGCUCAACCGUAAAAUUGCAGUUGAUACUGGCAUCCUUGAGUACAGUAGAGGUAGGCGGAAUUCGUGGUGUAGCGGUGAAAUGCUUAGAUAUCACGAAGAACUCCGAUUGCGAAGGCAGCCUGCUGGACUGUAACUGACGCUGAUGCUCGAAAGUGUGGGUAUCAAACAGGAUUAGAUACCCUGGUAGUCCACACAGUAAACGAUGAAUACUCGC
rnacentral:rRNA from 1 species